CCAAAAACGGACCAUCCUCCUUUUUAGAAAAAUUACCUACUAAACUUGAUAGGCAAAAUUGUUACUAGAUUAAAAGAUUAUGGAAACUAAAGUAAACCCAGUCUAAAGUCUUAAAAAAUAUAUCAAUAUAUAUUUAGUAUUUCUAGGGUAUUAAGGUUAAUACGGUGCCAGCAACCGCGGUCAAACCUUAUUAAUAAAUAAUUUAUAAUAAUCUAUUUAUAAAAUAAUAUGUGCUUAUAUAGUGUAUAGUAAAAUGUUACUAUAUCAAAAAAGUUAAGUGUAUUUUCCUAUACGCCAAAAUAAGGUAAAAAACUAGGAUUAGAUACCCUAUUAUUCUUAAUGAAAAAGACCAUAGAUUGAGGAGUAAAAUUACUAUAAACUCAAAAGUCAUGGCGGCUGUUAUGAUUUAUCAGGGGAGCUUACCAAGUAAUUGAUAACCACCAAGAUAUUCUUCUUAAGUUAAAAAGUUUGUAUGCCGUCGUCUUAAAUUUUUCAAAGGAAAAUUUUUUUUGCCUAAGAGAGGCGAGAAGACAGAUCAAGGUGCAGCUGAUACUAAAGAUUUAAGGCGAGCUACAGUAACUAAAUAUUCACCCAUGCGACUUAAAAAUAUCGCUGAAGUUGGACUUGAAAGUAAGCCAUAAUAAAAAUCAAUAACUGAAUAGCUUAUUAAUAGUGC
rnacentral:rRNA from 1 species